GGAAGGCCCGCUCCCGCGUGACGCCGCGGUGACGCAUGAGGUAGGCGGUGCAGACGGCGGCCGAGCGGCUGCGGCCGUUCUUGCAGUACACGAGGCAGGCUCCACCGGCGCGCACCGCGGCCUCCAUGGCGGCACAGGUCCAGACAUCACCUACGUAGAGGCCUUCUCAGCAUCCAUUUCCCUCUUCUGUGGCCUAAGGAAGGAUUCUGACUUUCCUGGGAUGGGAUUACCAUUUUCUCCAGAGUUCACGGGAGCCAUUCAAGUAGGUGGAGAUUUCCUGUCCCCCAGCUCCAGAAUCGGGCUUCUGAUUACGUCUAGUCAAUGACGCCUAUACCCCCAUGAUUGCUUCAGGAAAGGGCUUGGGCUGCCAUAUGAACCAAAGAGGAGAGAGGGGCUUGGAAACCUCUGUCCUCUCCUUAUGACCACAAAGGAAGCCAACCUUGGUUGGAAGCACAGCUGAAGAAAUGGUCCUCGAAGAUAUUGUUGGGCCACUGAAUCAAACCAAACCUGAAGAGCCUCCAACUUCUGGACUGUUUGGUUUCCUGAGCCAUCCAAUCACCCUUUACUGUUGGAUAUUUGAGGUGGAUUUUCUGUUCUAAGGCCUCUUAACUGAUAACCUCAUACUCUUUCAUCACAUUGAGUUAAUGAAUCGUAGCCACCACCUGCCCACCACACCAUGGCCCAGGGGUUUUCAAAGCGUGGUCCAAAUUUCAGCAGCAUCAGCAGCAUCUGGGAACUUGGUAGCAAUGCACAUUCUCAGGAGUCUACUACUCAGGACCUGCUGAACCAGAAACCCUGGGAGUGAGACACAGGAAGUUCUGUGUUACCGUGCCCUCCAUGUGAUUCUGAUAAAAGAUAAAAACCUUACCAUCAUUUAGUUGAUCUAAAAAGUCAUUUAAAGCAAGAUUUUUACCCACUCCCUUAAAGAUUGUAUUUUGACCUACUACCUGUCAUGUAUAUCCACUCACUUUCCUCUGAUGAGUCAUGAUCACACAUAUACAGCCACUGACUUUUCCCUGUGGGUCAGCUGAGGCGUUACUCAUAGUGGCACUCGGUGCCCGGCCAUGACUUCCAGUUUCACUUGCUUUCCUUCAUGUGAACUUAAAAGCACUUGAGAAGCGAUCAGCCAGUAGAAUCCUUUUGGAAUUUUUAAAAAUAUUUUUUUACUCACAAAUCUUUUACAGUGUCUCACAUGCAUCUAAUUUGAUGGCACUUUUUAAGUGGCUUUUGUUGACUUUUCAAAGCCUUCAACUGAAUUUUAAUAGAAAUGCCACUCUUCUUCCCCAUGCACACGUCGUUAGCCAUAUUUCACUAAAUUUCAUAACUAUAAUAGGUUCAGCCGGUAUUUUCAGAUUUGCAAACACCAUCACUGGUCAUUUGAACAGCUAACUUGCUGAAAGCCAGUCGUCCUAAAGGUCAGUUUGCUGAACUACUAAUUUGCUGAUUUUUACCAAGUUUAUUCACCAAAAACUUUAAAAACUGAUAUUCUUGAAUAUUGUCGAAGAAUAUUAAUACAUUUUUCCUAUGAAAACAUUCUUUUGGAAUAUACUCUUCAGCAUCAUUGCAGGACUUGUAUCAGUUUGGGAAAUACAGCUUUUUAAUCUUUGUAUGCCUGGUUUUUAAAGAUACCAGUGCAUAUAUUCUUAGGAACAUAAGCAGAAUUUCAGCAUUUCAUAUUGCAUUUUUUUCCAGUUUAUAGAAUUUUCCAGAACACCUUUUUUUGGCCACAUGUUAGCAAUUAGAAUUGUUUUGCCAGCCUCAGGAAGUUGUCAGAUUUGCUGAAACAAAUAGUUUUAGCUGCUGUUCUGUUCAGUCAGUCUUUUAUUCUGGGUGAUAAUGUGAGUUUCCUAGAGUCAAUGUAACAAAGCAUUACAACAAACCCAUAGGCUGAAAACAAUGGA